UAGGGAAUAUUGGUCAAUGGGCGAGAGCCUGAACCAGCCAUGCCGCGUGCAGGACGACGGUCUUCUGGGUUGUAAACUGCUUUUAUACAGAAAUAAAAAGGGCCUGCGGGCUUCAUUGCAUGUACUGUAUGAAUAAGCACCGGCUAACUCCGUGCCAGCAGCCGCGGUAAUUCGGAGGGUGCAAGCGAUGUCCGGAUUUAUUGGGUUUAAAGGGUGCGUAGGCGGUUAUUUAAGUCAGUGGUGAAAACCCUGAGCUCAACUGAGGGCUUGCCAUUGAUACUGGAUAACUUGAUUACCGUACAGGUAGGCGGAAUUUAUGGUGUAGCGGUGAAAUGCAUAGAUACCAUAAAGAACCCCGAUAGCGAAGGCAGCUUACUAGACUGUAACUGACGCUGAGGCACGAAAGCGUGGGGAGCGAACAGGAUUAGAUACCCCCGUAGUCC
rnacentral:rRNA from 1 species